AGAAAUCUCUCUUUUCUUCCUCUGCUGUUGUCUCGCGUAUUUCUCUAGUUUUCAUUUUCUCUUUCACCUUAUUAAUCUCUAUGCGUACAUGAUCAUCUUAUUGUCAAACAUCUUUUGCGUAAUACAAGGGUAGCAUCGCAACCUUGUACGUAUAGGACCACGUCGGGAACGACCAGUUAUCGGCGAAUAAAUCGACGGGGUUGACGCCGAGGUCGGAUUCUAUGGUCGCCAAUAGGAGGUCAGCUAACGUCGCAGAUUCACUAUUAUCGCGCGGGAUACGCGCGGACGUCGCUUCUGGGUGGUAAUUAGCUCCAAUCCUGGUAACGGCGUCGUAUAUCUCGCGGUAAUUUUUACACGCAACUCAAAGCGAUACGCACCCGGCGGCCCCUCUGUUCGCUCCUUUUGUGUUAUCCAGAUUUUAUGCUCCUCCCUCCUUCGUCUCUUCCUGACCGUCGCGUCCCGUCUCUUCGACCCCGCUGAUGAUGUGAGUGUCCCCUUCGUGAGCAUGGUCUUUGAUUUAAAAGGAGAUUUUAUGCAUGCGCGCGUCUUAUUCUCUCUACCUUUCUCUCAACGAUUCCUCGAGAUCCGCACGUCAAAUGACGUGGACAUCCUCUCGUUCAUUCUGCAAGAAAUUUCCUCUGUAAGAAAUUUAACAUUUAUAUU